rnacentral:rRNA from 1 species
AUUGAACGCUGGCGGCAGGCCUAACACAUGCAAGUCGAACGAGUGGCGGACGGGUGAGUAAUGUCUGGGAAACUGCCUGAUGGAGGGGGAUAACUACUGGAAACGGUGGCUAAUACCGCAUACCAUCAGAUCUGCCCAGAUGGGAUUAGCUAGUUGGUGGGGUAAAGGCUCACCAAGGCGACGAUCCCUAGCUGGUCGCAGAGGAUGACCAGCCACAAUGGAACGGAGACACGGCCCAGACUCCUACGGGAGGCAGCAGUGGGGAAUAUUGGACAAUUGGGGCAAGCCUGAUGCAGCCAGGCCGCGUGUAUGAUGAAGGCCUUCGGGUUGUAAAGUACUUUCAGCGGGGAGGCGGUACCCGCAGAAGAAGCACCGGCUAACUCCGUGCCAGCCGCCGCGGUAAUAC